rnacentral:rRNA from 1 species
CGAAACCCGGUGAUCUAGCCAUGGGCAGGUUGAAGGUUGGGUAACACUAACUGGAGGACCGAACCGACUAAUGUUGAAAAAUUAGCGGAUGACUUGUGGCUGGGGGUGAAAGGCCAAUCAAACCGGGAGAUAGCUGGUUCUCCCCGAAAGCUAUUUAGGUAGCGCCUCGUGAAUUCAUCUCCGGGGGUAGAGCACUGUUUCGGCAAGGGGGUCAUCCCGACUUACCAACCCGAUGCAAACUGCGAAUACCGGAGAAUGUUAUCACGGGAGACACACGGCGGGUGCUAACGUCCGUCGUGAAGAGGGAAACAACCCAGACCGCCAGCUAAGGUCCCAAAGUCAUGGUUAAGUGGGAAACGAUGUGGGAAGGCCCAGACAGCCAGGAUGUUGGCUUAGAAGCAGCCAUCAUUUAAAGAAAGCGUAAUAGCUCACUGGUCGAGUCGGCCUGCGCGGAAGAUGUAACGGGGCUAAACCAUGCAC